CAGUUCGGUGGGUUUGGGGGCUGGUGGUUGUGCUGACCGUCUGUGGAGUGAUUGUGGCCAGUGUCCUUCUGGUUCUUUCGCUUCUCUGCACCAAACACGCUCCUGCAAAUUCAAACUACACCAUAUCACAGGACAGAAACGUUGAAGCUAACCCCCAGAAUCCCUCCAGCAGCAACACGCCUGUGGAUUCAAGUGCAUUUUACAGUUUAAUCACCUCUGCUCCAGCAAUCGAGGGCACAUCCAAGGUCGACAGAAAGCGGCUUAAAAGUGAAGUCCAAUAUGAUAGCAGCACAUAUCACGUCUAUGCCACCAUCCCAGACGCCCCAGCCCCUGCAGCAGAGGUUUACAGCUGUAUCACAAAAGUGUGAUAUAUUUUUACAGUUUGAAUACCUGUAUUAUGCCUUACAUUUGGGUUUGGGUUCUCUCUUUUUUUUUCUUUUUUUUUGUAUUAUAACAAUAUAACAGACUGUAUAUAUAAAUGGACAUAGUUAACCCAAAUGAGUUUCCCACUUCUGGCCUCAUCCACUCUUGCUCCAAUUCACUUUCUAUUGAAAAAAAAAACAAAACAAAAAAAACGACACCUCUCUGUAACUGCUGCUGCCAUGUUGUCGUCAUGUCGUCAUGUUGUUCUUAACGUGUUCUUAUUAACCCACUCUGCAUAAAUCCUGAUUUUGCUGUUUGUUUGUCAAUCAAGAGAUGAACAUUAAUGACACAUCGAGUGGGGGAUUGGCUCUUUAGUUGCUAUUACUCGUUACCCGCGGUCAGAAAUCCAAAUAUGGAACUCCAAAUUCGCCCCCAUAACUCUUAGCCUCUAUAAGUGUUUUCAGGUCAACAGAGAACCGUGCCGGUUCCGGUUCCUGCACCUAAUCUUGAACCAACUCACGUGUUCAUGCCAGAAAUCAGAGCAUUCGGGAACCGAAAAGUUGGUUCCCAACGGGAACUUAGAAAAACUGAGUAAAACUUGUUUUUUCUAAGCCAACUGUGACAACUUAGAAGAAUUCAGCACGUUCAUCCGGGUCACACGCGAUAAAAUAAACAAACAGAGCAAUUGAAACUAUCAUGUAUUAAAUGAAAAGUUUUAAGUCUACACAAACUAUGACGUACCAUUGGUCUUGCAUGUAUCCGUCUUCACCUUUUAAGAUUACAUCUUUGUAUUGGGUGUCGCUGUCAUCUUCUCCACAGCAGAUCAAUGUUGUAGCAGAGCUUGACGCACAUAAAUAAUGACUUGUAUAAGUGCAAAUGCUCACUGGUGUUGAUUAGGGUGACCAAGCGUCCAUUUUUCCCCGGACAGGUCAGUUUUUUGCAUCCUGUCCUGGGCGUCCGGGUUUUUUUUUUUAAAGUGAUGGAAAUGUCCGUGUUUUCAGUACCGUUCAUUGGGGCCAUUAAACUGAGCGUCUCUCGUAGCGUCUGUGCAUCAGAAGGAGUGAGACACAAACAGUUGGUCGGUCUGCAACAUGCUGAAGCGUAAAUGCACAUUUAACAAUGACUUGUACAAGAAAUUCUCCAUUUUCCAUCCCGGUCGGGACAAGUGGGAGACCAUGUGCACAGGUUGCGAAGUGAGAGUACAGUGGUCCCUCGUUUAUCACGGGGGUUAUGUUCUAAAAGAACCCACGAUAUGUGAAAUCCGUGAAGUAGUCAACUUUAUAUUUUAUAUUUAAUUUAUUUUAUAUUUAAUUUUAAUUAUUAUAUCUGUUUUAAGGCUGUAAAACCCCUCAGCACACACUUUUCUCACACAGGACAGUUACAACCCUUUUUACUUCCUUCUUAAAACUUUUGUUAUUUUCCUCCUUCUUUAUGUAAGGAACCGAAGAUUAAUUUAUUCCGUAAUGGAGCCCUACAGCACAGAGUCUUACAUGGGUCCAUUUUUGGAGACUCGCAGUACAGCACCGCACCCGCCCGUUAAUCCGAGAUUAUAUCAAACUUUUGCACUGCCUGCGCCAUGGACUGAACCAAGACUAAACCAGGACUAACCCUGGACUAACCUAGGACUGAUUCCAGGACCGAACAAGGAGGGCUAAACCAGGAUUGAACUAGGACUAAAACAGGAGUAAAAAGGACUAAACCAGAACUGAAACAGCACUCACUGUCGGGACGAUCUCAGAGGUGACCACAGGAUAAAGGACCGAUGGAGAGCUCCGCACCUUGCGACGGUAAAUGCAGCAAUUACCCGAUCGCGCUUUGUGGGCAAACUGCUCGAGGUUCUCUCUCUUAAGUCCAAGAUUAGUCCUGGUUUAGACCUGGUUUAGUCCUGACUCACCCGUGUGUAAUUACUACCCGCCCGUAAUAUGCAAUACGCGUUCAUAAAAAACAAAAACAAAAAAAAAACACAC